rnacentral:lncRNA from 1 species
UUUGAAUACUUGGUUAGGUGGACAGAUUAUGCCAGCGUUGAUCGCUAAGCGAUUAUAAUAUGAAAUUAAGAAAUUUCUUUCUGACAUAAACAACGACAAUGAAUAAGAGAAGAACAAUAACACGAGACAUGUUUUAUGCCUUUCCUCGACGGUAGUUCCAAAUGUAAGCGUAUCUCGGGUAUCUUUCAAUUCUUCUUAGAUGGUAUUUUCUUCGGACUGGCUUCAGGGCACACUGAACGUUCUUUCAAGAACGAACCGGAUUUACGAAACGUCGGAACAAAGCGCAACUACUGAUAAAACGCGAUUGAAAUCCGAGGAAGCACAAACAUGUCACAUGCAUGAUAUAGUUUUAAACAGUAUACUUGGAUUUUACGUUUUGCAUCUGGAUCCAAACAGUUUCAUCAGCACGAAUUUCUCGAAACGUGUUUCGAGGACCCUCGGGAUGAAGCGAAAUCGUCAGACGAAGCAGCAGGAGAAGCGGUCGAGGGUGAAUCGAAGGCAACCGAAAUUCCUGCCAUAUUUCGCUGAAACCGAGUUUCCUUCCGGCUGGUUGAUUCAAUAUGUUCCAUCCGGGUAAAACGGAACUCCAGCCAGGCUAUGGACAAUACACUUUUCCGAAUGAAUCCCGUGGUUCCAUGAACGCGAAUGGAAUAUCUCGAUCGACGAUCCCGCGGAAUGGAGCGGCCAAGAUAUAGCCAAAUUCUAUUUCUUGUUCGAUGAACGAGAUUUCGAGAUUAAGAAGAUAAAGAAAGAUCAUCGUGUGUUUUCUACUUCUUCGCAUGUUCAUGCUGAAGAUGUUAAAACGUAUUGAAAACGAGGGAUAUGAUAAUGUUUAUUGGGAAGAAUAUUAGCGAUUUUUCCUAGUAUUAUCGAUCCUUUGAACCUACAAAUUCUACUUACCAAACCUCUAGUCCUUAAUUUAUAUUACAAAUCGUGUUCUCAAAACUGGAAUUUUACCGACUGUAACUCAAGUUAGCAGCGAUGCACGACUGUUCUCUAUUUAAACAUCUUUGCAUGUUCAAUUAUUAAUGCUAUUGAGCAUGUUUAUCGGGCAAUCAUUAAAACUACUAAGCACGUUGGAUCAACGAUCGAUUAGUUAAUGAUAAAUAAAAGAGAAGAGAUUAAGAUUA